rnacentral:rRNA from 1 species
CUUCGCCUGCCGGCGACCGGCGCACGGGUGAGUAACACGUAUGCGACCUGCCCCCCGCAGGGGGAUAACCGGGGGAAACCCCGUCUAAUACCGCGUAACGCGGCCUAGGGACAUCCCAAGGCCGCCAAAGGGAGCAAUCCCGGCCACGGAUGGGCAUGCGGCGCAUUAGCUAGUCGGCGGGGUAACGGCCCACCGAGGCGACGAUGCGUAGGGGUUCUGAGAGGAAGGUCCCCCACACUGGUACUGAGACACGGACCAGACUCCUACGGGAGGCAGCAG